UGCUGACUUGUCCGGCUGCAGCCAGCGCUACCUUCCCCAUCUACAGCUCUCUUGCUUUGCAGAGCCUAGGGUUAUCCCUCCAUUUCCAGCCCCAUGCCCUAAAAAUAGCACCCUACAACUUGUACCGGUUCCCGCGAAUCUGCGGUUUCGGGUCUGUCCCGGGCUCGGUCUCCUGCCCGUCAAGAAGAGAGCUUACGACACUGGUACUGCUCUCGGCGGCCGCGCAACCUCCGCAUCCGCGCAGUCUCUCUCGCCGUCUCCCCGCUGCCAUCGCGGGGAAACUCCCAUUUAUCCCAAUCCCGGCGACAAACACGCCCCGCUCGGCUUCUCAGACGGUCGUUUUCGGACAGAAGAGAUUGGAUAUGUUCGAUGUUUAAGAGAUUUAAUAUUAAAAAUACGUAGCAACUAAAAUCACGUUCGUGUCCCGGCUGCUCCGCGCAAAUAAAGCGCCUCUCUCCUCUCC